UUUCAUUCAAUUUCUUACACUGAAUGAGUUGGUAAAAUGGAGCUUUACUCCUACUAUGAUUGAUCAUUAAUUCACAACUAUUUUAGCUUAUUUUAUUAAAAUACAAGAUAUAGUCAUCAUAACUCAAAAGAAAAAAGACAAAAAGAAUAAGCCUAUAUAUAGUUCGAGUUUAUUAAUAAAGGUAUCAUUUUAUUAUUUCUAUGGAGUUCAUGUAGGCAUCACCUACAAAAGAGCAGAGGCAGAGCCAGGAUUUGACGGUCGCAAAAGCACUAUGACAUUCAAUAUAAAUUUAUUACCACUCAUAAAGAUUGGUACGGAACCUAUGCUAAUAUCCGAUUAUUUUUUGAAGAUAUUUGCAAGUAUAUAUGGAGUUUUUGCCGAAGUUUCCGGAUGCCGGUGACUCCUCACCCUAUAGCGUGCCUCCGCCUCUGCAAAAGAGAAUAAUUAGUUAUCGAAAAUUUGACAUAAAAAAUAAAUAAAAACAUUAGAUUUUUCGGUAUAAGUAUACUUGAAUGGACCCAAAAUUUUGUGCAAAUAUUUUUCAAAAACUCUGUCCAAAAGCUUCUUCCAAAAUAUUUCUCCAAAAAACUUCUUUGUUUUAAAAUAAUAAUAAUAUUUAAAAAAAAUGUUCAACCGUACAUGAUAAAUAAUUGAAAGCCUCUAGACUUUCCUACUGUCCAACUGAACUUAUUUAACACAAUGAAUUCCCUUGUCCACUUGUCCAAAGCUCUGAAUUUCUUGAAGGAACAAAAAGGAAGAAUGAGAUUGGAAAUCUACAUAAAUGGAUUUAAAAGACAAGAAACAAUAGGGUAAAUUUCAUAAAUGGUUAUUAUACUUUUUUUUUUGGUAAGGAAAAAAUCGCAUAGAUUUACCUAAGUAUUUCGAAAGUUACAAACUAUUCCAAAGUGAUAUGUUACUCUAUUUUCAAUCAGAAAUCUUGGAAUUGAUUGCUGAGUAUGAAAUCGCUUUUAGUAGAAACUUUUAUCGCAAAUUAGAAUUUUUCAACGUUAAUCCGAAUAAAUUGAAUUUCGAAAAGAUAUCAAACAUCAAAUAAAAAAGAAUUAAAAAAACUGUGAAGUGGUCAAAGAGUUUGGUGCCUAAGUCGUUUGGAAGUGAUAUUGUGAUUUGAUGGCUGAGGUCACGUCCUCGAUAUGCAAUCACCAGUUUGCUUCGGUUCCCUUAUCCAGUCAAUUAACUAUGGAUGUGAUCAAUGUUUUUUUUUGGUUUUACAUUCACCGGUAUUUAUAUUGGAGCGCGAUUAAAUUCGGAUUGCUCUGAAAAAUCCCAUAUUGGUUUGUGGGGGAGGGGGGAGGGAGGUAAAGCACUCCAAUCCUAUUUCCGAUAGGGGCAGUUGACAAUUGAAUCCGAUUUUGACCAUUAUUUUCAUAUCCAUAAUAGCGCGAAAAGAAGGCCCGGCUCCAAGUUGUUCAAGAAUAUUGGUGUUGAGUUUCUCGACCCUUUGACUUAGGAUUAAUCAGUUCUAUUUCUCGAUGGGGCGGGGAAGAGAUAUAACUCAACCAACAAAGACGAUUCUAUACCGAGCUCAAAUCCAAAAUUUCUGAUUAAGGAUGAAUAAGUACUUAUGAUCACUCCACAUAUUGGAUGUGAUCAAUAUAUAUUUUGCAUUUUAAAUUAUUUCAAAAUUUCUUAUACACUUAUAGGGGUCGUUUGGUUGGAGGUAUUAGAAAAAAUAUUGCAAGCAUUAACUCUAUGCAUUAUUAAUACCUUACUUGGUACAUUUUUUCAACAUGCAUAUAACUAUACCUGUAUUAGUAAUACAUCAUACUUGGUAUUAUCCUAUGCAUUAAUAGUGCAUAGAAAAUCAUGGCAUUAGUAAUACCAAGGCUAUUAAUGCAUGCAUUAGUAUUUAAAGACAAAAUUGUCCUUAAAGUCCUUUAAAGCUAGAGAAUAUUGAGGGCAUUUUUGUAAACAACUAUUUUUCUUAAAAAUUAUGUAAUGCAUUAUAAUUUUAAUACACCACACCAAACAGUAAAUAAGAAAUAAUAUAUGCACAACUAAUGAUUGCAUUACUAAUCCAUGUAUUACUAAUACACCUUAUUUCGCAUUAUUCUUAUACACUCUACCAAACCACCCCUUAAAUUUUGCUCUUGUUUCCUUUACCCCAUUUUAUUGGAAUGUAACUAGCGCCUCCCGAGGCUAACAUGGUAAGAAAAAAUAAUAAUAAUAAUAAUAAUAAUAAUAAUAUUGACGUAUAAAGAUUAAAAGUAAAGUAAAAAAAAAAUUGACGACAUGGGUAAAUUAAAAACUCUUCAUUUGAUUUCUUAAUUUUUACUACGUACAACGUACCUCAAUUUGUCUUUCAAUACCCGAAGAAAAAGGGAAAAAAAUAACGUGCGUUUACCCCGCACCCAAAACUAUUUAUAUCCCCCCAAUCUAUAUAUACACACAUACUAAUUUUAGUGUACAUGCGUUGUAUAUAUUUUUGCGUUUAUUGAUAAAAAGUGCAUAGAAUUUAGAAUAAGAAUGAAUUAUGUGUAAUAACAAUUGACAUCGAGAUAAAUGUAAUAUUUAUUUAAAUUAAAAAGUAAAUGCUACAUUGAUGAAAUAGUUUUUUUUUGGUUUCCCAUCCGGUGUCCGGUACCCACGUUGGAGCCCGACUAUAUCCGGAUUCGCGCCGCAUAGGGCCUCAUUCUGGGGAAGUGCUCUCUACCAAGGAUUUUUCCAUACUCAGGGCUCGAACUCGAGACCUCUGAUUAAGGAAAGAGCAGCCUCAUCCGCUGCACCACAUCCUUUGGUGGUACGUUGAUGAAUAGUUGAAUGCAUAGUUAUUGGUUAUUUUUUGAAUUUGCAAUGAUUAAGAAUUUAGGUAGGUUAUUUAUAUAUUUUUUUAUGAAGAUAAGCAUGAUAUAUUGUGUUUUUGUAUCACUAAUAUCUUUUAUAGACGGUAUUCUUGGUGUAAGAAAAAUUUCUCUAUUUUUUUAUUAAGAUACUAAAAUUAUAUACAAUUAAGAUAUUAGUUAAUAGAAAAUUUAGAAAAUCAAUUGUAAUAUCCAACAUAUAAAUAUUAAUGUUAGUUAAUAUUAUAUCUAACAUGGAAAGUAUAUUUAUGUUGAUAUAUUUACUUCUCAUAAUUGUAUAAAUAUAUACCACUAAUAAAUUUAUUCUAAUAGAAUUUAAAUGAUUAAUUAUAUUCAAGCAAAAAAGAAAAAAUAGACAAACCUAACGUGCACCUAACGUGUACUGUGUGCAUAUGCCAUAAAUUGAUAUAAUUCUUUUAUUAAUUGAAAAGGUCAUAAAAUUUCGGAUAUGUUAAGGACUUCUUACCUAAUUCAAAUAAGGUUGAAUUAGUAAACAAAAAUUUGACUUGAUUUAGUCUUAAAUAUUAGGGAAAUAGUUUAAAUUAUAAUUUUAUCCAAUAUAAAAUUAAUUUUUAAAGGGUAAAAAGGGCGAACGAUAUUUUGCUAAGGGCCUUCGUGCUUUUAAUAUAGUAUAGUAAAUAGAUAGAUAGAUAUAUAUACAACGAAAAUACAAUAUUUUUUUGAUUAUUAUUUUGAGAGUGACUAUAAAUGUUAUUUUUACGAAUACAAAUACAAGAACAUUAAAUCUUUUUAGUGUAAAACAUUAUAAAAGACAAAGGCCCUUAACCUUUUCGAAAUUUUCAACUUUAGUGAUGUAGCAAUAAUCUUGAUGCCCUAACGAUAAUUUCUAGAGUUCUUCCUAAUUUGCUUUGAUACUACAUAAAUAGUACGUCGCUAUUUUGAGAGAGAGAAAGUAGGAAAAUUCAGCACAAAUCAUAGGUACGUACAAACACAACUUACAGACCAAUAAAUGCCAAAAUCAAAGAGAAUGGAUUAAAAGCUAGAAACUAAGGAGUAAAGUUGAUACAGAGCAAUAAUCGAGCAAAAUAACUUUGAAUCAAACUCAAAUAUGAACUUUAGAAAGAAAUUUUUACCUGAUUUUGAAUUGGUCUUGUGAUGGAUCGUUUCUCUGCUGCUUUUUCUUGUGUCUACUUUGCUAAGAGAUAUAUUAAAACUUAAAAGAGAAGAAAAGCAUAUAUGUGGGAGUAGCCAAAAAUCUACACGUGUAUCUCCAGAAAGCAUAAAAGAACACGUAUAGAGCUGAUAAG
rnacentral:lncRNA from 1 species